UCUAAUUGGCUCCUCACACCUACCAAGUGUUAGGCCAUAUAACUCUUGUAUUAUACGUGACUUGUAUAACACGUAUAGGCGUGCGUGUAGGUUAGGAUCUCUCUCUAUCCCGUUGUGUUUAAACUGUAGCUAAGAGUAGAUUGACCUUAAACCACCUUUUGAUGUAUAUCUCUUGGGCUUAUGCCGCCUAUAUAAACAUGCACGCGUCCCUGCUAAGUGCAUGCGCUUCCAGCCUAUUCCACAUGGUAUAAGAGCCUACCUCUUCCCAUCGACAUGUCAUCUUCCUCCUCAAGCUCCACCAUGGUUGCUUCCCUCGCUGCGCUAGGCCACACCAUAACCGAAAAGCUAGCUAGGGAUAAUUUUUUGGUGUGAAAGGCACAUGUUCUUCCACAUGUGCGCGCUGCUGGUCUCAUGCGCUACCUUGAUGGCACCAUGGCCGAGCCGCCCGCCGUUUUAACCACCGAGACUGAUGUUGCAGGGAAGAAGGAGAUCUCUUCGACUCCAAAUCUGACCAUGUUCUCUGGUACACGCAGGAUCAGCAGGUCCUCACUUUUCUCCUUGCCUCCCUGUCCCGUGAUGUUCUCCUUCAGGUGCACUCCCUGGCUUCUGCAACCGGCGUCUGGACGGCGAUCCAGCAGAUGUUCGUGUCCCACUCCAGGGCGCGCCACAUCCAACUCCGGGGCAGCUCGGCAACACCAAGAAGGGGGACUCUCCUGUCGCCCUCUACUUCACCAAGAUGAAGGGAUUUGCGGAUGAGAUGGCGGCGGCGGGAAAACCCAUCGACGACGACGAGUUGGUUUCCUAUAUCCUGCAAGGAUUGGACUCUGACUACAACCCGUACGUUGCCGCCCUCUCAUCUCGUCCCGAGGCUGAUCAGAAGAUUGGCCUCACAGAGCUAUUUUCCCUGCUCAACACGGCGGAGGCACGCAUCGAUGCACAGAACGACAGCAACACCAACUCCUUCUCCAUCAACCUCGCCUCCAAGGGGGGCUCCCGCAACAACACCGAUGCCCGCUCCUCUGGUCACGUCGGUGGCAACUCUGGUGCCGCCUACCGUGGUGGCGGCGGUGGUUUCUUCCCCAACGUUGUUGCUCCCCCUCCUUCUGGUGGAAGGGAUGAGACGUGCCAGACACGUCAGGGCCAUGCUGCCUGGCGUUGUUUCAUGCGCUACGACAAGAACUUCAACCCUCCUCCCAAGCAUCAAGAUGGUGGUGGCGGAAACAACGGCGGCGGCGGUGGUGGCACCAAGUCCGCAAAUACCGUCUCUGUGGCCUACGGUGUUGAUAUCAACUGGUAUCUCGACACCGGUGCUAUGGACCAUGUAACCGGCGAGUUGGAGAAGCUUGUCGUGCAUGAUCGCUACACUGGACCGGAGCAAAUCCGCACCGCAAGUGGUCAAGGUAUGGAGAUUAAACAUGUUGGUCAUUCGUUGCUUCCUACUCCACAUAAACCUUUACACCUAAACAACAUCCUUCAUGUUCCCAAAUCCAAGAAUCUUCUCUCUGGUUCUCAACUCACGAAAGAUAAUGAUGCCUAUCUUGUUGUUUACCCUGAAUUCUUCUCUAUUCACGAUCAGGAAAUGGGGGGCACAAUUCUUCACGGUCCGAGUAAGAACGGGUUGUACCCUAUUGUUGCUGGCCAACCGGGUGCUCAUGGGCGUCAUAUCCUUGGAGCAAUCAAACCAUCUACGUCUAGCUGGCAUAGACGCCUAGGUCAUCCGUCCUUUCCGGUGGUGCAGCAGAUUCUUUGCAAUAAUAGUCUCCCAGUGUCAAAUAAAGUAGAUCAUCACCUUGUGUGUGAUGCUUGUCAAAUGGCUAAAAGCCAUCAAUUACCCUACUCUCGUUCAACUAGUGUUUCUCAAGCUCCUUUAGAGAUCAUUUAUUCUGAUGUUUGGGGCCCUGGGCCUCUUUCAGUUGGUAGACAAAAAUAUUAUGUUAGCUUCAUUGAUGAUUUCAGCAAAUUUAGUUGGAUUUAUCUUAUCAAACAAAAAUCAGAUGUCUUCCAAAAAUUCCAUGUUUUUCAAGCACUUGUUGAACGUUUGUUUGCCCGCAAAAUCAUUGCUAUGCAAACCGAUUGGGGGGUGAGUAUCAAAAGUUGAACCAAUUUUUUCAACGUCUUGGCAUUACACACCAUGUAUCAUGCCCUCAUGCUCACCAACAAAAUGGCUCUGCAGAACGUAAGCAUCGCCAUAUUGUAGAAGUUGGCCUUUCCCUUCUUGCUCAUGCCUCCAUGCCUCUAAAAUUUUGGGAUGAUGCCUUCUCUACGGCAUUCUACCUUAUCAAUCGUGUGCCUAGUCGUGUUAUUCACAAUCAAACCCCUUUGGAACGUCUUUUUGGUCUCACGCUAAACUACACCUUUCUUCGUAUAUUUGGUUGUGUUGUUUGGCCUAAUUUGCGCCCUUUCAAUAAACAUAAACUUGAGUACCGGUCAAAACAAUGUGUUUUCAUUGGCUACAGUGAUCUACAUAAAGGAUAUAAAUGCCUUGAUGUCUCAACCGGGCGGGUCUAUGUGUCUCGGGAUGUUAUUUUUGAUGAACAUAUCUUUCCCUUUGCAUCUUUACACCCCAAUGCCGGAGCUCAACUCCGUGCUGAGCUUGUGCUUCUUCCACCCACACUUCUAAAUUCAUCAAGCUCUCUUACACCUUCCGCAACACCGAAUGACCCCAUGGCAAUUUCCACUACUUAUGCACACACCUCUGCUAACAGUGUGCAGGAUUCGGCAGGUAUUUCUCAUGAUUUUAUGCAACCUAAUCCUCCUGCAGAUCUGGUGGCCACAAAAAAUCCAGGGCUGCAUGCCUCGGGAUCAGCAGCCGCAGCACCUCGGUCAGGAAAUCCUGUACUCCAGGCCUCGGGAUCGGCUGCCACAGCACCUGGAUCCCCUCCGGGUUUCGUGCGCCAACCCGGCACGCCUGCCGACCGGUACCCCGCAUCAACCUCGGACCCAGCGCGCCUGUCAGCAGUCGCGACAGCGGGGACAGCGUUGUCCCCCGCCUUGGCCCUGGUGCGGUCUCCCCCACGUGGAGCGCCUACAGCGGGUCCGUUCCAACCCCGCGCCUCGGAUCUGCCGCGGUCUCCCCCCUGCGGUGGGCCUGCCCUGUUCCCUGCCUCGGGCUCGGGCGCCUCUUCCAGACGUGGCGCACCGCUACAGGCCGACACGGUUGAUUCUUCUGUGGAGUCCGCUACCUCGCCUGCCGCGUCGACCGAGCACUCCCAGAUGGAUUCCCCUGCUAUUUCCUCUGGAUCGCUACCUGCCUCUGAUCUGCCAUUUGAUGCGGUAUCGUCUGAUUCUGCGCUAGCCCGUCGUGUUCAGCACAACAUGCAACCAACGCCACCAGCACCUCCACCUCCUCGGGCUCACACUCGGUCCCAAAGUGGUAUUCUUAAACCCAAAGUUCAUACCGAUGGUUGUAUUCGUUGGGGCUCUUUCUGUGCUACAGGUGAACCAGAAAAUCUCAAGGAGGCUAUUGUUGAUCCUAAGUGGAAAGCUGCUAUGGAUGAUGAAUUAGGUGCACUUUUCUCCAAUAACACAUGGCAUUUGGUACCACCGCGUCACAGACAGAAUAUCAUUGACUGCAAAUGGGUUUAUAAGGUAAAAUGACACUCUGAUGGUACCAUUGAUAGAUAUAAAGCUCGUCUAGUUGCAAAAGGGUUUAAGCAACGUUAUGGUAUUGAUUAUGAGGAUACGUUUAGCCCAGUUGUCAAAGCUGCAACCAUUCGUUUAAUCAUGUCUAUUGAUGUGUCUCGUAAUUGGCCUAUGCGACAACUCGAUGUUAAGAACGCGUUCCUACACGGUGUUCUGGAAGAGGAUGUUUUUAUGAGACAACCACCUGGGUAUAAAAGUUCACAGUCACCUACUUUUGUUUGCAAGCUUGACAAAGCACUCUAUGGCCUAAAACAAGCACCUCGGGCAUGGUAUUCUCGUUUGUCUUCCAAACUUCAGUCCCUUGGAUUUCAUCCUUCACAAGCAGAUACCUCCUUAUUUUUCUAUUCCAGACAUGGAGUCACAAUUUUCAUGCUUAUUUAUGUUGAUGAUAUCAUUGUUACUAGUUCCUCUGCUCAAGCGGUUGAUGCUCUCUUAAAAGAUCUUCGUAUGGACUUUGCCCUCAAAGAUCUCGGUGCACUUCACUACUUCCUCGGCAUUGAGGUAAACCCUACUCGAGAUGGUAUUGUUCUCUCACAAGGCAAGUAUUUGGUAGACCUCCUUACACGUGUAAACAUGAAAGGUUGCUAACCUGUUUCCACUCCUCUACCAACAGCAGAAAAAUUAUCUCUUUAUGAUGGUGAGCCUCUUUGUGAUGAAGACUCUACAAAAUACAGAAGCAUUGUUGGUGCCUUACAAUAUGUGACUUUAACCCAUCCUGACAUCUCUUUUUCGGUCAACAAAGUUUGCCAGUUCUUACAUGCUCCUACCACUGUUCAUUGGUCCUUGGUUAAACGCAUUAUCCGUAUCAGUAAGUCAGAUUCUAUGCUGGUUAGUGCCUUUUCAGAUGCAGAUUGGAUUGGUUGUCCUGAUGAUCGCCGCUCCAUAGGAGGUUUUGCAGUUUUUCUUGGUAGUAAUCUUACCUCUUGGAUUGCUCGCAAACAACCCACUGUCUCUCGUUCCAGUACAGAAGCUGAAUAUAAAGCACUGGCCAAUGCAACUGCUGAAGUCAUUUGGGUACAAACUCUGUUGACAGAACUUGGUGUGCCUCAUCCUCGAGCAGCAUCUCUUUGGUGUGAUAAUUUGGGUGCUACUUACUUGUCUGCCAAUCCUAUCUUUCAUGCUCGCACCAAGCACAUUGAGGUUGAUUAUCACUUUGUUCGCGAAAGGGGUGCCAACAAGUUGUUGAAUAUCAGGUUUAUUCCUACUGGUGAUCAAGUGGCGGAUCGGUUCACUAAACCAUUAACAGCUCGGCAACUGGAUGUUUUUCUUCGCAAUCUCAACUUAGGCAGUUGUGAUUGAGGGGGGAUGUUAGACGAUAUAACUCUUGUAUUAUACGUGACUUGUAUAACACGUAUAGGCGUGCGUGUAGGUUAGGAUCUCUCUCUAUCCCGUUGUGUUUAAACUGUAGAUAAGAGUAGAUUGAUAUUAAACCAUCUUUUGAUGUAUAUCUCUUCGGCUUAUGCCGCCUAUAUAAACAUGCACGCGUCCCUGCUAAGAGCAUACGCUUCCAGCCUUUUCCACACCAAGCGUACAUUGCUAGUACGGCUCCACUUAGACACAUCUGACUAUGUUUCUUUAGUAUGGGCUAAUACUCAAAAUUGGAAUUCAUGUUGAGCUACUCUUUUCGAAUUGAAGCAUUGGAAAUGUGUCCUAGGCGACCCAUGGUAAAUGCUUGCACUACUCAUGUUACUACAUACAUAGUGAUCCAUCACUAGUCUCAUAGUUUCGCUUCUGGCCUUCGUGUGAUCCAUCAUGAAACAUCUCUUGUAUAGCUGUCACUAUUAGGUUGGAUGCAGAAAAUACAGUAGCUAAAUGUGUAUACCAAUAUAUGAUGGCCAAUAGAGCUCAUUUGUGGUUGAUGCCUUCAUGGUGAGAUUCAGUAAUAGAAUCAUAUGACUAGGAGGCAUUUGGAGUACGAGUUCAACACAAAACGGAUGAGUUUGCAUGAUUUGGAACAAGUCACGUUGGAAUGUCGAAGAUAUUAGUGGUGCAAUCCUCAAAGUUUCACUGACAAACGCAUGCCAAUCUGGAGAUGUUGCUACGUAUCUUUGCACAGGAGUUGUGGACAGCGGCUUGUUGCUCGGCUAACCUUGUAGUAUGUUCUGAAAUUUGCCUAUUUUGAAGAUUGCCACUUCAGUAUUUAUAUACUUAUUCUGUACCUAAAAUUCUACUCCUAAAUGUUCAGUUGGUUGAAUAG
rnacentral:lncRNA from 1 species